GGAAUCUUCCACAAUGGACGAAAGUCUGAUGGAGCAACGCCGCGUGAGUGAAGAAGGGUUUCGGCUCGUAAAACUCUGUUGUUAAAGAAGAACAUAUCUGAGAGUAACUGUUUAGGUAUUGACGGUAUUUAACCAGAAAGCCACGGCUAACUACGUGCCAG
rnacentral:rRNA from 1 species